UACAGAGACUGCAAGCGUUAUUCGGAUUCACUGGGCGUAAAGGGUGCGCAGGCGGUUGUGUGUGUCAGGUGUGAAAGCCCGGGGCUUAACCCCGGAAUUGCGCCUGAAACUACAUGACUAGAGCAUUGGAGAGGGUAGCGGAAUUCACGGUGUAGCAGUGAAAUGCGUAGAUAUCGUGAGGAACACCAGAGGCGAAGGCGGCUACCUGGACAAUUGCUGACGCUCAGGCACGAAAGCGUGGGGAGCAAAGGGG
rnacentral:rRNA from 1 species